CAAGACAACUUUACGGAGUUGACGAUUGACGGAGCGAAGCGACGUCAAAGCGUUCAUUAAAGUCGAGUUGGCUUAGGGAUACGUUCGUUGGGUAGGGGAGCGUUCUGUAAGCCUGUGAAGGUGUGUCGUGAGGCAUGCUGGAGGUAUCAGAAGUGCGAAUGCUGACAUAAGUAACGAUAAAGCGGGUGAAAAGCCCGCUCGCCGGAAGACCAAGGGUUCCUGUCCAACGUUAAUCGGGGCAGGGUGAGUCGACCCCUAAGGCGAGGCCGAAAGGCGUAGUCGAUGGGAAACGGGUUAAUAUUCCCGUACUUGGUGUUACUGCGAAGGGGGGACGGAGAAGGCUAUGUUGGCCGGGCGACGGUUGUCCCGGUUUAAGCGUGUAGGUGUGUGUUCCAGGUAAAUCCGGUUCACUUUAACACUGAGGCGUGACGACGAGGCACUACGGUGCUGAAGCAACAAAUGCCCUGCUUCCAGGAAAAGCCUCUAAGCAUCAGGUAACACGAAAUCGUACCCCAAACCGACACAGGUGGUCAGGUAGAGAAUACCAAGGCGCUUGA
rnacentral:rRNA from 1 species